rnacentral:rRNA from 1 species
GAUAAACGCUGGCGGCGUGCCUAACACAUGCAAGUCGAACGAAGAGGCCCCUUCGGGGGUACUUCAGUGGCGGACGGGUGAGUAACACGUAGGUGACCUACCCCAAAGCGGGGAAUAACAGUCCGAAAGGAUUGCUAAUACCCCAUGUGGUCAAUGAGUUUAGAGGCUUGUUGACUAAAGGAGCAAUCCGUUUUGGGAGGGGCCUGCGCCCCAUCAGCUAGUUGGUAGGGUAAUGGCCUACCAAGGCUACAACGGGUAGGGGCCUGAGAGGGUGACCCCCCACAUUGGCACUGACACACGGGCCAAAACUCCUACGGGAGGCAGCAGUGAGGAAUAUUGCUCAAUGGGCGAAAGCCUGAAGCAGCAACGCCGCGUGCGCGAUGAAGGUCUUCGGAUCGUAAAGCGCUUUUGAGAGGGACGAGAUAGGACGGUACCUCUUGAAUAAGUCACGGCUAACUACGUGCCAGCAGCCGCGGUAAAACGUAGGUGG